CGCCCGGUGGAUGCCUUGGCUCGGAAGCCGAAGAAGGGCGCGGCAAGCUGCGAAAAGCCGGAGGGAGGUGCAUGCAACCGUUGAUCUCCGGAUUCCCGAAUGGGAUAUCCUGCCGAAAGGCAUCCCGUAAGGGAGGGGAACGCGGGGAAGUGAAACAUCUUAGUACCCGCAGGAGUAAAAAACAAAUUGUGAUUUCCUGAGUAGGGGCGACCGAAAGGGAAGAAGCCUAAACCGAAUCCUCUAAAGUAAUUUAGAGGAGAUGUGGGGUAAAGGAGCGGGAGCUUCCCGUUAUUGUAUUCUCAGAACUCCGGUGGAAGUCCGGGGCCGUAGAGGGUGACAGCCCCGUAUGGGAAUACAAUAACGGGAUUUCCCGUUUCCGGAGUACCGGCGGUUGGAUUUCCGUCGGGAAUUUGGGGGAAACUAGCCCCCAAGGCUAAAUACUCUCCGAGUCCGAUAGCGUAUUAGUAGGGCGACCGAAAGGUGAAAAGAACCCUUGGCAGGGGGUGAAAAGAGCCUGAAACCGGGUGGGGAUAGUCUGGUAGGGCUAGUUAAGCAUCCUAUCUGGGAAAAUCUGGUGACAGAUGAGUACCAGAUAGGAUGCUAGCUAGUUCUACCGUGAGUUUUGAAGAACUUGCGGGGGAGUAUACCCGAGUGGCGAGGUUAAGGUUUAUACCGAAGCCAUAGGGAAACCGAAAGCCCGCAACCUGGGCUUUCCCAGGUGAGGGGCGCUGUCCCAUAAGGGCGGUUUAGUCACUCGGGUAUGACCGGAAACCGGGCGAUCUACCCCGGGGCAGGGUGAAGCGGGGUUUCCCGUGGAGGCCCGAAGAGGUGGAGCAUGCUCCUCUCAUGACCCUGGGGUAGAGGUGAAAAGCCACUCGGGCCCGGUGAUAGCCGGUCCCCGCCGAAACUGACCCCAGCCAGGUCUCGGGUUAGGAUCCCUAUGGUGUAGAGCGACGGAUUCUGUACGGGUUUCCGUACAGAGUCCAACUCCGAAGCCAUAGGGUCCGAAGCCCGGGAAACGGGGGUUGCGGGAAAGCCGCAACUCCGAGACGGGAACAACCGAGACCGAGGUUAAGGCCCCAAAGUGCUGGCUAAACGAUGUUGAAGGAGUCUGCCCUCUAAGACAUCGGGGAUGUGGGCCUAAUAGUGGCCAUCAUCUAAGGAGUGUGUAACAACUCACCCGACGAGGGGGUAGGCUCCGAAAACGGACGGGUCUAAGCCAGCCGCCGAGACCUCGGUCCGCUGGCAAAUGCCAGCGUGAGGUAGGCGGGCGUCCCGAUGGCCUAGAAGGGUUCCCGAAAGGGAGCCUGGAGCCGUCGGGAAUGAAGAUCCCCGCGGUAGUAAGAAUCAGACGGGUGAGAAUCCCGUCGGCCGAAAGGGGAAAGGUUUCCCAGGCAAUGAAGAUCAGCCUGGGGUUAGUCGAUCCUAAUCCAGGCUCCGAGAGGAGUCUGGAGAAAGGGAAAGGGGUUAAUAUUCCCCUACCGCUCCGAUAGAUGCGGCAACGCAACGCUCUUUCCCGACCCGGAGGGCUAGGCGUACAUGGGGGUGGGGUAAGACCCACUUACCAUGCCAAGGGGGAUAAGACCGGGGAGUACCGUCAUGGUGAGAACCGGUCUAAACCCUGAUGGGCCCGAAAGGGUUACGCCGAGGCCUUCCGGCAAUGAAAAGGGAAAGGGUGCGAUUCGGAGCGAUCGUACCGGAAUCCAGCAUAGGUCCCCUGGGUGAGAAGCCUAAGGCCGUGGGGGUCAAGCCGGUCCAGGGAACUUGGCAAAUUAGUCCCGUAACUUCGGGAGAAGGGAUGCCUGCGGUGUGGACCGCAGGUCGCAGUGACAAGGACGGGCGGACUGUUUACCAAAAACAUAGCUCCCAGCAAGCCCGAAAGGGUUUGUACUGGGGGUGACGUCUGCUCGGUGCCGGUAUCUGAAUCCCCCGUUCAAGGGGGGUAAGGACCGGUAAACGGCGGGGGUAACUCUGACCCUCUUAAGGUAGCGUAAUGCCUUGCCAGUUAAAUGCUGGCUCUGCGAACGACGUAAC
rnacentral:rRNA from 1 species